rnacentral:lncRNA from 1 species
CAGGAUGGUCUCAAUCUCCUGACCUCGUGAUCCGCCCGCCUCGGCCUCCCAGAGUGCUGGAAUUACAGGCGUGCAAUGAUGGACAUUCUAAUUAUAGUUUUCCAAUCUGAUUGGUGAAAAUCUUACCAUGGUUCGGUAAGUACUGGGAUUGAAAACUGGAAUUUCUUCUGUAGAAUGCCUGUUGAGCUUGAAUUUUUCCCUGGGUUAAUUGAACCAGGUACUAACCCUUCAUUCUUGUGCCUAGGUUCUGGAGAAUCCCCUCCUGUUUACAUGAGGGAGCUCCUCACAAUUACAUCUGGGGACUGGAAUCACAGCCCCUGUUCUUCAGCCCGGGGCAGGGAAUGAGAGCAGUCCUCAAACUUUCGGUUUAAUAUGCAGAAAUUGACACUGGUACAGACACUAUCAUUCCAAAUUCCUCAUUUUUGUAAAGGUUAGCCAGAAACACAAGGUAACCAUCUAUUUUUUUGUGUGUUCUUUGGAUAUAAGAUACAUCUCUGCUACCAAGAAAGAGACUGCAACAAAGCACAGCUUUAUUGGGAGUACAUGUAAAUGAGGAGACCUUAAUUACCAUAAAAUCAAUUUCCUUUGAUUACUUCCCCAAAGCUCUAAUUCUCAAACGUGAAUUAAGAGUAAUUUGAAUAGAAUGAAUAGAAUGUGUAAAUAGACAACAACAUGAGAAGGAAAUUGAAGGUUGAAUCUAGAAAAGAAAUGGCUCAGGUUAAAAGGAAAAAUGAGGAGAGUUAGAGGGGCAGAAUCAGGAGCUUCUGUUUCAUGAUAGGUAUGAUUAGCCCUCCAUGGACUUCCUCUCUUCUUCCCAGAGACUCCUUUCCUUAACUAAGUUCUUUCUUUGAACCCUGGUGUGCUCUUCUAACCGUGUAACUGUGUCCAGAAUUGGUGUGUUCUUUGUCUCACUGACAUCAAGAAUGAAGCCACGGACCCUUGCGGCCAUUUAUUUUAGAUCCUGUGAAUCCUACUGUCAAUGUUGUGACACCUGCAAUGCCUGGGAUGAAGCUGCCCAUGUGAGCUGGGGAGGACUCCUGACCAGCGUGACACCUAACAUUGGAGUGAAGGGGCAGCAGCCACGUGAAACGGAAUGGGAAAUACUCUUCUCCUACCACCAACUUGGCCACUCUCCAGUGACGAGGUUUCAGAAGCAGUGCAUUUUCAAGUUUCUGCCUCAGAAGAGAUCCAGUUUGGCAUUCUGUCUAAGUUCACUGCACAGAGACGGGUUUGGCUCUGUGAUUCAUCAGAAAUAAGAAAAACAAACACUGUAAAUGGAGAACUUGAAAAAGAGGUGGGCACCAUCUCCCCACCCAAGAGAAUGGAUUUAAGAGGAAAUUUGUUUAUGGGAUGAAGUUUUAAAAGGCGACCUGGAAAAUUUAGCAAAGAUGUAAAUAAACAACUCUUCCUUGGAUUGCAUUAGGCUUCAGAAUAAAUAUAUUAACCAGCUUCAGUCAAAGUCUGCCUAGAAUCUGACCCUGACAAGACCCAGUGACUAGUGCUGCUCCGAACCUUCCCCACCAACAGCAGGCAAUUUUCUCUGUGGCAAAGCUACCUCGAAACAGGCAUCCAGGCUUCCCUCCCACGAAGUGAAGAUGAGAAAACUGAGUCUCAGAAUGGACAAGCUCACAGAUGGCAAGUGGUAGAGCAGACUUCACACAUAGCUUCUGCCACGUCCCGGGUCCCAGAGUGUGCCUGCUCAGAUCCCAGAAAACUUGCAGGAACAGGAAGAGGUCACACAGUGUUAAGGGGAAGGGAGAACAGGAACGGCGGGUUUCUU